ACCAUGCAGUCGAACGGUAACAGGUUAAGCUGACGAGUGGCGAACGGGUGAGUAAUGCAUCGGAACGUGCCCAGUCGUGGGGGAUAACGCAGCGAAAGCUGCGCUAAUACCGCAUACGAUCUAUGGAUGAAAGCGGGGGACCGUAAGGCCUCGCGCGAUUGGAGCGGCCGAUGUCAGAUUAGGUAGUUGGUGGGGUAAAGGCUCACCAAGCCGACGAUCUGUAGCUGGUCUGAGAGGACGACCAGCCACACUGGAACUGAGACACGGUCCAGACUCCUACGGGAGGCAGCAGUGGGGAAUUUUGGACAAUGGGCGCAAGCCUGAUCCAGCAAUGCCGCGUGCAGGAAGAAGGCCUUCGGGUUGUAAACUGCUUUUGUACGGAACGAAACGGCGAGCUCUAAUACAGUUUGCUAAUGACGGUACCGUAAGAAUAAGCACCGGCUAACUACGUGCCAGCA
rnacentral:rRNA from 1 species